rnacentral:rRNA from 1 species
AUUGAACGCUGGCGGCAUGCCUUACACAUGCAAGUCGAACGGCAACACGGGAGCAAUCCUGGUGGCGAGUGGCGAACGGGUGAGUAAAGUAUCGGAACGUGCCCAGUCGUGGGGGAUAACGUAGCGAAAGUUACGCUAAUACCGCAUACGAUCUAUGGAUGAAAGCGGGGGAUCGCAAGACCUCGCGCGAUUGGAGCGGCCGAUAUCAGAUUAGGUAGUUGGUGGGGUAAAGGCUCACCAAGCCGACGAUCUGUAGCUGGUCUGAGAGGACGACCAGCCACACUGGGACUGAGACACGGCCCAGACUCCUACGGGAGGCAGCAGUGGGGAAUUUUGGACAAUGGGCGAAAGCCUGAUCCAGCCAUGCCGCGUACAGGAUGAAGGCCUUCGGGUUGUAAACUGCUUUUGUACGGAACGAAAAGGUUUGGCCUAAUAAGCUGAGCUCAUGACGGUACCGUAAGAAUAAGCACCGGCUAACUACGUGCCAGCAGCCGCAGUAA